GAAACGACUGCUAAUACCGCAUACGCCCUACGGGGGAAAGCAGGGGACCUUCGGGCCUUGCGCUGAUGGAUAAGCCCAGGUGGGAUUAGCUAGUAGGUGGGGUAAUGGCUCACCUAGGCAACGAUCCCUAGCUGGUCUGAGAGGAUGAUCAGCCACACUGGGACUGAGACACGGCCCAGACUCCUACGGGAGGCAGCAGUGGGGAAUAUUGCACAAUGGGGGAAACCCUGAUGCAGCCAUGCCGCGUGUGUGAAGAAGGCCUUCGGGUUGUAAAGCACUUUCAGCGAGGAGGAAAGGGUGUAAGUUAAUACCUUACAUCUGUGACGUUACUCGCAGAAGAAGCACCGGCUAACUCCGUGCCAGCAGCCGCGGUAAUACGGAGGGUGCGAGCGUUAAUCGGAAUUACUGGGCGUAAAGCGUGCGCAGGCGGUUUGUUAAGCGAGAUGUGAAAGCCCCGGGCUCAACCUGGGAACCGCAUUUCGAACUGGCAAACUAGAGUCUUGUAGAGGGGGGUAGAAUUCCAGGUGUAGCGGUGAAAUGCGUAGAGAUCUGGAGGAAUACCGGUGGCGAAGGCGGCCCCCUGGACAAAGACUGACGCUCAGGCACGAAAGCGUGGGGGAGCAAACAGGAUUAGAUACCCUGGUAGUCCACGCCGUAAACGAUGUCUACUCGGAGUUUGGUGUCUUGAACACUGGGCUCUCAAGCUAACGCAUUAAGUAGACCGCCUGGGGGAGUACGGGCGCAAGGUUAAAACUCAAAUG
rnacentral:rRNA from 1 species